UACAGAGGGGGCAAGCGUUGUUCGGAAUUACUGGGCGUAAAGGGCGCGUAGGCGGCCGCCUAAGUCAGACGUGAAAUCCCUCGGCUCAACCGGGGGAACUGCGUCUGAUACUGGGUGGCUUGAAUUCGGGAGAGGGGAUGCGGAAUUCCAGGUGUAGCGGUUGAAAUGCGUAGAUAUCUGGAGGAACACCGGUGGCGAAGGCGGCAUCCUGGACCGACACUGACGCUGAGGCGCGAAAGCUAGGGGAGCAAACGGGG
rnacentral:rRNA from 1 species